UACGUAGGGGGCGAGCGUUGUCCGGAUUUAUUGGGCGUAAAGAGCGUGUAGGCGGCCAGGUAGGUCCGUUGUGAAAACUCGAGGCUCAACCUCGAGACGUCGAUGGAAACCAUCUGGCUAGAGUCCGGAAGAGGAGAGUGGAAUUCCUGGUGUAGCGGUGAAAUGCGCAGAUAUCAGGAAGAACACCUAUGGCGAAGGCAGCUCUCUGGGACGGUACUGACGCUGAGGAGCGAAAGCCAGGGGAGCAAACGGG
rnacentral:rRNA from 1 species